GCCGCCGUAGCUCAGCUGGGAGAGCACCCGGCUGAAGACCGGGGGGUCCGGGGUUCGAGUCCCCGCGGCGGCA
rnacentral:tRNA from 1 species